AAAAUUAGACUUCCUUGCCCUUGGAUUGGGUUUGAGGAGAUCUUUACUAUUUUAAUGCCAUUUAAAAUAUUUUCAGAUACAAUCUCCAGAGCCUUAACUGGGGAAACAGCCUCUAUUAUGUUAAAGGCAGAAGGGUCUAUAUGCUGGAGUAAGUGUAACUGAAAGGAGUACAGCUGAAAGAAGAAGAGGCCAAAGGAACCGGGAAGGCUAAAGACUCAUUAUUGAAGAGUUGCCAAAGAUAAAUGCGUCCAAGAUGCAAUCAGGCUUGGACUGUCUGGGACCUGGGGAGAUGUAUCCGGAGCUUACCCCAACUUCAUCAGCGAUGGGGAACGGUAAGGAAAAAAGAACCAAGGCAAAGCUCUAGCAGCCAAUUAGAGUGCUAGUUUUCUGGAUACAAUAUGAUUGGUUAUUUGAGUUACAGACAGGCCCAAACACUUAAUCAGUGUCUAUUAUUUUGAGACUGGUUUUCUUCACCCUGUGUUAUCAGUG